rnacentral:tRNA from 1 species
GAGGGUGUAGCUCAGUGGUAGAGCAUAUGCCUAGCAUGCACAAGGUCCUGGGUUCAAUCUCCAGUACCUCCA